UGCAAGUCGAGCGGUAGCGGGGAAUAGCUUGCUCUUUUGGCGGCGAGCGGCGGACGGGUGAGUAAUGUCUGGGAAACUGCCUGAUGGAGGGGGAUAACUACUGGAAACGGUAGCUAAUACCGCAUAACGUCGCAAGACCAAAGAGGGGGACCUUCGGGCCUCUUGCCAUCAUAUGUGCCCAGAUGGGAUUAUCUAGUAGGUGGGGUAACGGCUCACCUAGGCGACGAUCCCUAUCUGGUCUGAGAGGAUGACCACCCACACUGGAACUGACACACGGUCCACACUCCUACGGGAGGCAGCAGUGGGGAAUAUUGCACAAUGGGCGCAAGCCUGAUGCACCCAUGCCGCGUGUAUGAAGAAGGCCUUCGGGUUGUAAAGUACUUUCAGCGGGGAGGAAGGUGAUGAGGUUAAUAACCUUAGCAAUUGACGUUACCCGCAAAAGAAGCACCGGCUAACUCCGUGCCAGCAGCCGCGGUAAUACGGAGGGUGCAAGCGUUAAUCGGAAUUACUGGGCGUAAAGCGCACGCAGGCGGUCUGUCAAGUCGGAUGUGAAAUCCCCGGGCUCAACCUGGGAACUGCAUUCGAAACUGGCAGGCUAGAGUCUUGUAGAGGGGGGUAGAAUUCCA
rnacentral:rRNA from 1 species